CCUACGGGUGGCAGCAGUGGGGGAUAUUGCACAAUGGGCGAAAGCCUGAUGCAGCGACGCCGCGUGAGGGAAGACGGUCUUCGGAUUGUAAACCUCUGUCUUUGGGGAAGAAUAGAGACGGUACCCAAAGAGGAAGCUCCGGCUAACUACGUGCCAGCAGCCGCGGUAAUACGUGGGGAGCGAGCGUUGUCCGGAAUUACUGGGUGAAAAGGGGGGGUAGGAGGGGUUGUAAGUUGAAUGUAUAAUCCACCGGCUCAACCGGUGAUCGCGUUCAAAACUGCAGGUCUUGAGUGAAGUAGAGGCAGGUGGAAUUCCUAGUGUAGCGGUGAAAUGCGUAGAUAUUAGGAGGAACACCAGUGGCGAAGGCGGCCUGCUGGGCUUUAACUGACGCUGAGGCUCGAAAGCGUGGGUAGCAAACAGGAUUAGAUACCCGGGUAGUC
rnacentral:rRNA from 1 species